rnacentral:rRNA from 1 species
CCUACGGGUGGCAGCAGUGAGGAAUAUUGGUCAAUGGCCGUAAGGCUGAACCAGCCAAGUCGCGUGAGGGAUGAAGGUUCUAUGGAUUGUAAACUUCUUUUAUAGGGGAAUAAAGUUUUGCACGUGUGCCGUUUUGCAUGUACCUUAUGAAUAAGGAUCGGCUAACUCCGUGCCAGCAGCCGCGGUAAUACGGAGGAUGCGAGCGUUAUCCGGAUUUAUUGGGUUUAAAGGGUGCGUAGGUGGCCUUUUAAGUCAGCGGUGAAAGUCUGUGGCUCAACCAUAAAAUUGCCGUUGAAACUGGGAGGCUUGAGUGUGUGUGAGGUAGGCGGAAUGCGUGGUGUAGCGGUGAAAUGCAUAGAUAUCACGCAGAACCCCGAUUGCGAAGGCAGCCUACUAAGCCAUGACUGACGCUGAUGCACGAAAGCGUGGGGAUCAAACAGGAUUAGAUACCCGUGUAGUC